AACAAUACUUGGGUUCACCCCUAUGGUGAAUGGUUAAAUUCACCUCAGCUUUUAUAACUAACCAAAUUGCCAUGUAAAAUUAGUUAAAAAAAACAAUAAAAUUAAAAAAAAACGGCUGAAAAAAAACACCGACGUUAACGCUGUCUACAAAACCCGAAAUUCUAAAAAUCUAAAAUCUAAACCCUAAACUCUAAAUCCUAAAUUCUAAACCAUAAUUUCUAAACCUAAAACCCAAAACUCUAAACCAUAAACCCUAAAUCCUAAACUCUAAACCUAAAAUUCUAAAUUCUAAACCCAAAAUCCAAGACCAUAAACCUAAACCAUCAACCCUAAACUCUAAACCUUAAAUCAUAAACCCUAAACCCAAAACUCUAAACCAUAAACCCGAACUCUGAUCAAGUAAUGAGUUUAGGGAUUAAUUUAGGGUUGUGUUUUGGAGGUUCAGGAUUUAGGAUUUAGGAUUUAGGGUUAGGUUUUGGGUUUAGGGUUUAGCAUUUUGGGCUUAGAGUUUAGGGUUUAGGAUUUUGAGUUUAGAGUUUAGGAUUUGGGUUUUGGGUUUAAGGUUUAGGAUUUGGGGUUUAGGGUUUAUGAUUUGGGGUUUAAAGUUUAGGGUUAGAUUUUUGAUUUUUAGAGUUUUGGGUUUUACGGAUGGUUUUAGUAUCGGUGUUGUUUUUCUGAGUCAUUUAUUUUUUAAUUUUAUUACUUUUUUUAAUUAAUCCUACAAGGUAUUUUGGUUGUUUAUAAAUGGUGAGGUGAAUUUAACCAUUCACCAUAGGGGUGAACCUAAGUAUUGUUCAUUUUAUUAAGAUAUGUUAUCGUCGGAACAAUACUUAGGUUCACCCCUAUGGUGAAUGGUUAAAUUCACCUCACCAUUUAUAACCAACCAAAAUACCUUGUAGGAUUAAUUAAAAAAUAUAAUAAAAUUAAAAAAUAAAUGACUCAGAAAAACAACACCAAUAUUAAAACAGUCUGUAAAACCCAAAACUCUAAAAAUCAAAAAUCUAAACCCUAAACUUUAAACCCCAAAUCAUAAACCCUAAACCCCAAAUCCUAAACCUUAAACCCAAAACCCAAAUCCUAAACUCUAAACUCAAAAUCCUAAACCCUAAACUCUAAACCCAAAAUCCUAAACCCUAAACCCAAAACUCUAACCCUAAAUUCUAAAUCCUAAACCUCC
rnacentral:lncRNA from 1 species